UACGAAGGGGGCUAGCGUUGCUCGGAAUCACUGGGCGUAAAGCGCACGUAGGCGGAUUGUUAAGUCAGGGGUGAAAUCCUGGAGCUCAACUCCAGAACUGCCUUUGAUACUGGCGAUCUCGAGUCCGGGAGAGGUGAGUGGAACUGCGAGUGUAGAGGUGAAAUUCGUAGAUAUUCGCAAGAACACCAGUGGCGAAGGCGGCUCACUGGCCCGGUACUGACGCUGAGGUACGAAAGCUAGGGGAGCAAACAGG
rnacentral:rRNA from 1 species